rnacentral:rRNA from 1 species
GGGAUUGCCCUAGUAACGGCGAGUGAAGCGGCAACAGCUCAAAUUUGAAAUCUGAGUGAAGAGCGCAGCUCAAAUAUGUAUCAUGCUCCCUCCGGGGCCCGAGUUGUAAUUUGCAGAGGGCGCUUUGGCGUCGGCGCCGGCCUAAGUUCCUUGGAACAGGACGUCAUAGAGGGUGAGAACCCCGUACGUGGCAGGCCGCCUUCGCCGUGUAAAGCCCCUUCGACGAGUCGAGUUGUUUGGGAAUGCAGCUCUAAAUGGGAGGUAAAUUCCUUCUAAAGCUAAAUACUGGCCAGAGACCGAUAGCGCACAAGUAGAGUGAUCGAAAGAUGAAAAGCACUUUGGAAAGAGAGUCAAAAAGCACGUGAAAUUGUUGAAAGGGAAGCGCUUGCAGCCAGACUUGCCUGUAGUUGCUCAUCCGGGCCCCGGCCCGGUGCACUCUUCUGCGGGCAGGCCAGCAUCAGUCUGGGCGGCCGGAUAAAGGCCUCGGGAACGUAGCUCCCUCCGGGGAGUGUUAUAGCCCGGGGGGCAAUGCGGCCCGCCCGGACUGAGGUCCCCGCAUCUGCUAGGAUGCGGGGGUAAAGGGUGUAAACGGCCCCUCUUGAAACACGGACCCAGGAGUCUAAAAUCUAUGCGAGUGUUUGGGGGUCAAGCCCCGGCGCGAAAAGAAAAUGAAAGGAGGGGGGAACCCCCCCCGGGGUGCACCAUCGACCGAUCCUGAUGUCUUCGGAUGGAUUUGAGUAAGAGCAUAGCUGUUGGGACCCGAAAGAUGGUGAACUAUGCCUGAAUAGGGUGAAGCCAGAGGAAACUCUGGUGGAGGCUCGCAGCGGUUCUGACGUGCAAAUCGAUCGUCAAAUUUGGGCAUAGGGGCGAAAGACUAAUCGAACUAUCUAGUAGUG